CCUACGGGAGGCAGCAGUAAGGAAUAUUGGACAAUGGUCGCAAGACUGAUCCAGCCAUGCCGCGUGCAGGAAGACGGCCCUACGGGUUGUAAACUGCUUUUGCACCAGAGAAAACCCUUCUACGUGUAGGAGGCUGAUAGUAUGGUGAGAAUAAGCAUCGGCUAACUUCGUGCCAGCAGCCGCGGUAAU
rnacentral:rRNA from 1 species